UAUAUACAAAACCUCCAACCCCUCCCUCUCCCUCUCGAUCUCCUUGCCGGCAACCACAUCGGCCGACUGCCGACCGGUAUCUCAGUCCCCUUCACCGGUAAAAACCGAUUAGAUCAGGCAAUUUUGUUCUAAGAUUAUGCUUUCAAUAACUCACGGUUCAGCAUGAGACCAAACUUAUUGUAAAUAGUAAUCAUACAUGAACAGUGAUGUUUAGACCCUAUGUAUUGUUGCUUUCAGUAGUAAAUCAAAGAAUAAAAA